GGGGUUGUAGCUCAGUGGUGAAGAGCUUGCCUUGCAAGCAUGGGGCCCUGGUUUCGAUCCCCAGCACCACA
rnacentral:tRNA from 1 species